rnacentral:rRNA from 1 species
AUUGAACGCUGGCGGCAUGCCUUACACAUGCAAGUCGAACGGUAACGGGCCUUCGGGUGCCGACGAGUGGCGAACGGGUGAGUAAUGUAUCGGAACGUACCUUUCAGUGGGGGAUAACGUAGCGAAAGUUACGCUAAUACCGCAUAUUCUGUGAGCAGGAAAGCAGGGGGUCGCAAGACCUUGCGCUGAUCGAGCGGCCGAUAUCGGGUUAGCUAGUUGGUGAGGUAAAGGCUCACCAAGGCGACGAUCUGUAGCGGGUCUGAGAGGAUGAUCCGCCACACUGGAACUGAGACACGGUCCAGACUCCUACGGGAGGCAGCAGUGGGGAAUUUUGGACAAUGGGGGCAACCCUGAUCCAGCCAUGCCGCGUGAGUGAAGAAGGCCUUCGGGUUGUAAAGCUCUUUCGGCCGGGAAGAAAUCGUAUCAGCUAAUACCUGGUGCGGAUGACGGUACCGGCAUAAGAAGCACCGGCUAACUACGUGCCAGCCGCCGCAGUAAUAC